rnacentral:rRNA from 1 species
AUUGAACGCUAGCGGGAUGCUUUACACAUGCAAGUCGAACGAGUGGCGGACGGGUGUGUAAUAUAUCGGAACGUGUCCAGUAGCGGGGGAUAACUACUCGAAAGAGUGGCUAAUCCCGCAUACUAUUGGAGCGGCCGAUAUCGGAUUAGCUAGUUGGGGGGGUAAAGGCUCACCAAGGCAACGAUCCGUAGCUGGUUUGAUAGGACGACCAGCCACACUGGGACUGAGACACGGCCCAGACUCCUACGGGAGGAAGCAGUGGGGAAUCUUGGACAAUGGGGGACACCCUGAUCCAGCCAUCCCGCGUGUAUGAGAAGGCCUUCGGGUUGUAAAGUACUUAUGUCAGAGAAGCGGUAUCUGCAGAAUAAGCACCGGCUAACUACGUGCCAGCAGCCGCGGUAAUAC